rnacentral:piRNA from 1 species
UGAACUGCAGGUGCCACCAUCUCUCCCUC